rnacentral:rRNA from 1 species
UACGGGGGGGGCAAGCGUUGUCCGGAAUCAUUGGGCGUAAAGCGCGUGUAGGCGGUCCGGUAAGUCCGCUGUAAAAGUCGGGGGCUCAACCCUCGGAUGCCGGUGGAUACUGUCGGGCUUGAGUACGGAAGAGGUGAGUGGAAUUCCUGGUGUAGCGGUGAAAUGCGCAGAUAUCAGGAAGAACACCCGUGGCGAAAGCGGCUCUCUGGAACGGUACUAACGCUGAGACGCGAAAGCGUGGGGAGCGAACAGG